AUUGAACGCUAGCGGCAUGCCUUACACAUGCAAGUCGAACGGCGUGGCGAACGGGUGAGUAAUGUCUCGGAACGUGCCCAGUAGUGGGGGAUAACUACGCGAAAGCGAAGCUAAUACCGCAUACUAUCAGAGCGGCCGAUGUCGGAUUAGCUAGUUGGUGGGGUAAAGGCUAACCAAGGCGACGAUCCGUAGCUGGUCUGAGAGGACGACCAGCCACACUGGGACUGAGACACGGCCCAGACUCCUACGGGAGGCAGCAGUGGGGAAUCUUGGACAAUGGGCGAAACCCUGAGCCAGCCAUGCCGCGUGUGUGAAGAAGGCCUUCGGGUUGUAAAGCACUUUUGGCAGGGAAGCGGUACCUGCAGAAUAAGCACCGGCUAACUACGUGCCAGCAGCCGCGGUAAUUC
rnacentral:rRNA from 1 species